rnacentral:lncRNA from 1 species
CUUCUCCUGUUAACGAUCUGGGUCAGCAUGUUAUUUAACCUUAAAGAUCGGUGGAUGACCCGUAUCAUGACAGGUGGAUGGCAAAGGCGGUUGCUGCCACCUGUUUGGCUAAUAAGUUGCAAGUGAGUUUAUGGGUCAGGGUCAUACUGCUCAUCGUCUUACUUGCAACACUUUUAUAUUAGUAUGAUGAUGAUAAUUGGAGGUGAUGGUUUCAUUGAUGGGCUAAGAGACAUUAGAACUGGCUACGAGUUACAGUUUACUCACUAGUACAGUAACAAGGUCGCCACCAGCCCACGGAUGAAAAUUUGCAAUACUUUCAAGUCCAAA